rnacentral:lncRNA from 1 species
GGUAGUGGCCAUUGUCGUGACUUGCUAGAGAGUUCGGAUCUGUCGGCUGAAGCUCGGUUGGGACAUCUGAUGGAGCGGAAUGGCUCUCUAUCCCGUCGAUCUGGAAGAAGUUCGGAUGCCUCGAAGCUGCUAAUGAGUCUACUGCUGUCGGAUACCUUAGGCGCUGAUACUACAGGUGGGGUCAUCUGCUGUAGAAGUUUGGAUGGAGACUUUCCGUUGAUAAAGCCUGGUAGGAGUCCGAUUGCUAGAGAAGUCCAUCUAGAAUUCGCCUGAUGUGGAAGCUC